rnacentral:rRNA from 1 species
GACGAACCGUGCGAACGUUGUUCGGAAUCACUGGGCUUAAGGGCGCGUAGGCGGCCUGCCAAGUCUGAGGUGAAAUCCCCCCGGCUUAACCGGGGAAGUGCCUUGGAUACUGGCGGGCUCGAGGGAGGUAGGGGCAGGGGGAACUUCUGGUGGAGCGGUGAAAUGCGUUGAUAUCAGAAGGAACGCCGGUGGCGAAAGCGCCCUGCUGGAUCUCUACUGACGCUGAGGCGCGAAAGCCAGGGGAGCAAACGGG